AUUGAACGCUGGCGGCAGGCUUAACACAUGCAAGUCGAGCGAGCGGCGGACGGGUGAGUAAUGUCUGGGAAACUGCCUGAUGGAGGGGGAUAACUACUGGAAACGGUAGCUAAUACCGCAUAACAUCAGAUGUGCCCAGAGGGGAUUAGCUAGUAGGUGGGGUAAUGGCUCACCUAGGAGACGAUCCCUAGCUGGUCGGAGAGGAUGACCAUCAACACAUGAACUGAGACACGGUCCAGACGCCUACGGCAGGCAGCAGUGGGGAAUAUUGCACAAGGGGCGCAAGCCUGAUGCAGCCAUGCCGCGUGUGUGAAGAAGGCCUUCGGUUUGUAAAGCACUUUCAGCGAGGAGGCGUUACUCGCAGAAGAAGCACCGGCUAACUCCGUGCCAGCAGCCGCGGUAAUAC
rnacentral:rRNA from 1 species